AUCAAAGCUUAAUAACACGAAAAUCUAGUUAUUUUUCUACAGUGAAAACGGAAACAAUAACUGUGUGAAAAAAAAUGUGAACCAUAAAUUUUAGUAAUAUGUCAAAACCGCACGAACAUACAAAUCAUUUAACUAACUAAAAUUUUAAAAUCAAGAAACUAUGGUAAUUGUUAGGAAAAAAGUUGAUUUUUUCAGUGACAAAAACAAAGCAUUACAAUAAAUUACAUCGGUAUCCUUACGUUUUAUGGAGUAAAUUACAUAAACCAUACUAUUGUUCGAUGGGAGGAGCUUAACUAAUAAGUAUACUCAUAAAUAUAGACAAUAGAUUACACUUAAGUAUAACUAUGAGACGUUAAAUAGAAACCAUG